UAAAAGUGUUAAUUUCGGAUCAUGAGCUGAGAAACUGUUUCGUUAUUGUCUGUUUUUUUGAUAUUGCACGAUGAAGUCAAACGAAGACUUAGUGGGGAAAAUUGCUAUGGGUAUUUAUAAGGCCAGCAUAAAACGGAAGGGCAGAAGUGAUAUUUGAUGGCAGAAGUAUAUUGCUUGACAUGACAUAUGUAUGUAAAUGCUUUAAAUCACAUAUAACUGAACURCCCAGACAGAAAGUAAGAGAAGAGGAUAAAAGAUUUGCUUUAGAACUUUACACUGAUUGGAUGGUUGAAGACUGUCGUCCGAUUUCUUCCGUGAAGGCCUUCAGAUUAAAAAACAAUAGUCCAAUUUUUGGUGGCUAUAGCCACAAAGUAUGGAAAAAAAGUAUGUUGACGUUCGGAAGUAAGAACCCAAUAAUCAUUUCGCGCAAUAUAGAAAAAAAAAAUACAAAACAAAAAAAGAAGAAAUUCCUGUUGAAAUAACAUAAAAUGUACAAUCCAGCUACGCUUCUACUGCAAUGGAUUUAUGGAAAGACGAAUAUGUUAAACGCGAUUUUUUCUGUGUCCAAAGU